rnacentral:tRNA from 1 species
GCCGACGUAGCUCAGCGGUAGAGCAACUGAUUCGUAAUCAGUAGGUCUGCGGUUCGAAUCCGCACGUCGGCACCA